GGCCGCGGUAUCCUGACCGUGCAAAGGUAGCAUAAUCAUUUGUUCCUUAAUUAGGGACUUGUAUGAAUGGCCCCACGAGGGUUUAACUGUCUCUUACUUUUAAUCAGUGAAAUUGACCUUCCCGUGAAGAGGCGGGGAUAUAAAAAUAAGACGAGAAGACCCUAUGGAGCUUAAAUUAAUAUGCUCAACAAAAUUUUAAUUUUGCCCAACAGGAAUAACCACAAUUUAACUGAGCAAUAAAUUUUGGUUGGGGUGACCUCGGAGUAUAACAAAACCUCCGAGUGAUUUUAACUAAGACAUACCCGUCAAAGUUACAUAACUUAUUGAUCCAAUCAUAUUGAUCAACGAAACAAGUUACCCUAGGGAUAACAGCGCAAUCCUAUUCGAGAGUUCAUAUCGACAAUAGGGUUUACGACCUCGAUGUUGGAUCAGGACACCCAAAUGGUGCAGCAGCU
rnacentral:rRNA from 1 species